AAAUCAGGAGUUUCGUGAAAUUUUAUUCAUACAGCCAGAAACUUUGGAAGGGUGAUGAGAGCUUGUAAGCUUAUCUCAGUGAUAUUACUGUUUCAAACUUUCAACAAUCUUGUGAUCUCGAAAUAAGUAGAAGGUCUUACCCAGUAAAACACAUAGAGCGUAGGGUCUGAGAAAGGUCCAAAUGUACGCAGAGGUUGAUCAAAACCCGUGACCUAGCUGAUAACAAGUAGACACUAAUUAAAAAUUUGAAAGGUGUAGUUGCAUAUAAGUUUGAUCGAUCUUGAUAUCUAUGGCCACUAAUUGCAUAUUUAAUUUGGUUGCCUUGCAGAUCAUCAUGGUCCUCUGAAGGUGAAGUUUUGGCAAGACCCGCUAAGCCCAUCGAGAUGGAAGAAAGAACAGUUUGUCAUUGUUUCUCUGGUUGGUUGGGGCACGCUAAUCUAUGGAGGCUACAAGUUCUUCUUCACAGGAGAUCAAAAAGAAAACAAAGACGAGAAAGUUGGGAAAUCGCCAAAGUGAGAUGUGGAAAUUCAGGCGGUCCUGUUGGAUGACGCUAGCUGCCAGCUGGAUCUAGUGUUGUAAUGUUGUACGUUAUUUUUUUUUUUUUUUUUUUUUUUUUUUUUUGGUUUUCCAAUAUGUAUCCUGUUAUGUACUUCAUGACUUUGUAUGAUAUGAAAACAUCCUUGUACAAA